UGUAAAUUUUGCCAAUCGUGGGCGAAGUGUGGGCGUAAACCAAACACCACCCCCCUCUCUUUCCCAAAUCCUCAUUUUUCUCCUCAAGAUCUCACCGCGGCGGUUGAUGCCGGCCCCCGCUCCCGCUCCGGUGCUCGCAGCUCAAGGUUCGUUUGGUUCUCUUCCAUGCCCCCGCUCCUCCCCCCAUAGCCUCCGCUGCCGACCACUCCGGCGCAUCCUCUGACAAGGCACGGCCGACCUCGACGCCUCCCUGCUGUGCGCUCCGACGGCCGCCUCCGGCAAGCUCCAACCCGACCGUUUCUGCUCUAUCCUGCUGCCAUGGCAAGGCGGCAGAGGAGCUGCGCGCCCGUUCCGGCUCCAACCACAAGCGCCGGGCCUGCAGCACACGUCGCCCCUGACUGCUGCUGAAGAGGCGGACAAGGACCAGCCGAUCCAUGCGUGCAGCAUCGACGGCAUAGACUUCGCCCCCCACGACAACGCCAUCCUCCGCGCCCUACUCUGCUAUACCGCUGGCCUCUGUGCGUGCUCUCCGUUCUUCUGCCCCUUCUCGGUAUAUUGUUGAGUAAGCAUUUUGCUCCUUGAAUUCUAGCAGUGUUAGUCGAGAAUAGCUUGAUCUGUGAACUUUUCUAUUGUUAAGCAUGAAUUGCAUGAUGCUGUUGUAGUUAAAAUAUCACCAGUAGAGUUCACCUCGAUGCGAAUUGGAUUGUUCCAGUAAAGUUCACCUUGAUGAAGAAAGGCUUGUUUGCCAGAUGCAUAUGAUACAAUUAUUAUUGGGGCCUGAACCUAUUGCUAGUCAUCUCUAAGCAUCAUCAUGGUUUUUUACAUGUCCGGCAUCAGCUAUGUGGGGAUUUGAAGAUUUUUUUUUGUAAUAAGGAGCUUAUAUACCUGUUUUAUGCUAAGAGAUCCAAGCUUUUUUAAUGUUACAAUGGUCUUUUUCUUGGCCAGAAUAUAGCACAACAGAAUCUGAUGAAUUUGAGAAGCAAGAUGGUGGUGACUUUACUUGUGAAGAAGAGUCUACGUUUUUGAUGCUUCAGACUACUUCACUGUAUCAAAGAGCAGAUCUUCAACAAUGUCAAUUUCUACAGAUUGUGGUGUACACAGUGAUACUAAGAUAGAUAACUCAGGUGGCCUGGAAAUUGUGAAAGUACAAAUGCAAGAUUCUGACAACAUGACCUCAAAUCAAACGAUCAUUUCUCUGUUUUGUUUUUGCAUCUCUAGGAUGUUCACUGUUUAUUGAUUAAAUUCUUCAGAUUAGUAAAUAUAAUCAUCAGUUACUUCUCUUCUUUGUGACCACAUUCGUGAAGAAGACUAAAACAAUAGGUGUUGGCUGUUGAGGUUGAUUGAACUCUGCCACAAAAAAUGUAUUGUUUUGUCUGCUAGAUUUCUUCUGAUCUAAAAAUAUCCCCUGUUGAGUUCGAAUAAGAAGCUUAUAUGCCUGUUUUAUGCUGAGAGAUCCAGUAUUUGAUUAUUUAAUCAUCGAAUUUUCGACUGAUACUCCUUGAUUUUUAUUAGUUUUUAUCCUGAAUGAUGAAGGCUGUCUCUCAACACAUAUUUGCUAAAUUGUUACCCUUUGUUGCUGAGCAUGAAAUAGGUGAAUGCAAUAUGCAAUUCAGACAGGCUAAGCUCUUUACACUUCCUCUCCAGGUCAAGUGGUGUCUUUAUUGACCUGUAUCGACUGCAUGGUGCAUCUGUUGAGUAUCCUGUGAACAGUCUGUUGUUAUGCAUGUGAUGAUGGAACUGCAAUGCUGAUUUUUGACUCAAGGUCUUCGAGGAUUGCAUUCUCAUCCAUGAUGCCACUAAGGAAGUCCUCCAUGUCGCCUACAACAUUCUCAAUCUGGCGUGCUCAUCGAAGGUGAUGCAAGAGGUGAAGCAGUUCCUUCUCUGGCAAGUGAUGCAUGUGUGUUUGAUGCUAGUUUUAUUGUUGGUAAAGUUAUUGCAUCUGGACACGGCAUCGCGAUGGACUCAGCGCACGGGGUGUUCCUCCUAGCUGCAUCGUUUGCCCUGCGCUUGGCUAGCAGUGCUGCCCUCUGCUCUUCGCUUUUGCCUUUUGUAGAUGAGCGUUGUUGUCGGGCUGCUCUUCUACUCUCAGUAAUCUCCUUCUUUUGCUCCGCUGUCAAACUAUUUUGUUUAGCUCUAUAUUCGGCUCUUCUGCGUGUAUUAAUCUCCUCCUUUUGCUGGGUUGUCAAACUAUUUCGUUGGGCUCUAUCACGUUCACGUCUUGUUUGAUUUUCACCACUUCUUCUUCUUCGUGCAUUAAUCUCCUCCUUUUCCUGUGUUGACAGAUUUUUUCGUCGAGCUCUAUCCCGUUCACGUCUUGUUUGAUUUCUAUCUUGCGACAUGUUUGCAAUUGGCUGUGACAUGUUUGCAAUUGGCUGCCUUUGAUCUGUCAUUAGCGUAGCUGAACAGCAAAUUUGACAUGAAAUUAGUGACUUUACAUGUAUAAACAUGAUACAGCUUUGAAGAGGAAAUUAGUGACUUUACAAGUAUAUAAACAUCGCCUUUGAAUACACUUUUUUGUCUUUACAAGUAUAUAAACAUCGCCUUUGAAAUAACUAAGUUUUA